GACGAACGCUGGCGGCGUGCUUAUCACAUGCAAGUCGAACGGAAAGGCCCUGCUUUUGUGGGGUGCUCGAGUGGCGAACGGGUGAGUAACACGUGAGUAACCUGCCCUUGACUUUGGGAUAACUUCAGGAAACUGGGGCUAAUACCGGAUAGGAGCUCCUGCUGCAUGGUGGGGGUUGGAAAGUUUCGGCGGUUGGGGAUGGACUCGGGGCUUAUCAGCUUGUGAGUGGGGUAGUGGCUGACCACGGCAUUGACGGGUCGCCGGCCUGAGAGGGUGACCGGCGACCAGGGUACUACGGUACGGCGCAGUCGGCUACGUGAGGCAGAGGGGGGAAACAUUGUACAAUGAGCGGAAGCCUGAUGCAGCGACGCCGCGGGCGGGAUGACGGCCUUCGAGGUGUAAACCGCUGUCGCCUGAUACGAAGCGUGAGUGACGGUAAUGGGUAAAGAAGCACCGGCUAACUACGUG
rnacentral:rRNA from 1 species